rnacentral:rRNA from 1 species
GACGAACGCUGGCGGCGUGCUUAACACAUGCAAGUCGAACGGAAAGGCCCUGCUUUUGUGGGGUGCUCGAGUGGCGAACGGGUGAGUAACACGUGAGUAACCUGCCCUUGACUUUGGGAUAACUUCAGGAAACUGGGGCUAAUACCGGAUAGGAGCUCCUGCUGCAUGGUGGGGGUUGGAAAGUUUCGGCGGUUGGGGAUGGACUCGCGGCUUAUCAGCUUGUUGGUGGGGUAGUGGCUUACCAAGGCUUUGACGGGUAGCCGGCCUGAGAGGGUGACCGGCGACAUUGGGACUGAGAUACGGCCCAGACUCCUACGGGAGGCAGCAGGGGGGAAUAUGGCACAAUGGGAGGAAGCCUGAUGCAGCAACGCCGCGUGCGGGAUGACGGCCUGCGGGUAAUAAACCGCUUUCGCCUGUGACGAAGCGUGAGUGACGGUAAUGGGUAAAGAAGCACCGGCUAACUACGUG